rnacentral:rRNA from 1 species
GAGUUUGAUCCUGGCUCAGAACGUACGCUGGCGGCACGCCUUAUACAUGCAAGUCGAACGAAGUAGCAAUACUUAGUGGCAGACGGGUGAGUAACAUGUAGGUAUCUGCCCUUUGGCCUGGAAUAACACGAGGAAACUUGUGCUAAUACCGGAUAAGUCUUUACGGAGAAAGCUUUAUGCACCAUUGGAUGAGCCUGCACUUGAUUAGUUUGUUGGUGGGGUAAUGGCCUACCAAGACUAUGAUCAAUAGCUGAUUUGAGAGGAUGAUCAGCCACAUUGGAACUGAGACACGGUCCAAACUCCUACGGGAGGCAGCAGUAGGGAAUCUUGCACAAUGGAGGAAACUCUGAUGCAGCGAUGCCGCGUGAGUGAAGAAGGCCUUUGGGUUGUAAAGCUCUUUCGUCGGGGAAGAAAAUGACUGUACCCGAAUAAGAAGGUCCGGCUAACUUCGUGCCAGCAGCCGCGGUAAUACGAAGGGACCUAGCGUAGUUCGGAAUUACUGGGCUUAAAGAGUUCGUAGGUGGUUAAAAAAGUUGGUGGUGAAAUCCCAGAGCUUAACUCUGGAACUGCCAUCAAAACUUUUUAGCUAGAGUAUGAUAGAGGAAAGCAGAAUUUCUAGUGUAGAGGUGAAAUUCGUAGAUAUUAGAAAGAAUACCAAUUGCGAAGGCAGCUUUCUGGAUCAUUACUGACACUGAGGAACGAAAGCAUGGGUAGCGAAGAGGAUUAGAUACCCUCGUAGUCCAUGCCGUAAACGAUGUGUGUUAGACGUUGGAAAUUUAUUUUCAGUGUCGCAGCGAAAGCAGUAAACACACCGCCUGGGGAGUACGACCGCAAGGUUAAAACUCAAAUGAAUUGACGGGGACC